AUUGAACGCUGGCGGCAGGCCUUACACAUGCAAGUCGAACGGCUGCACGGGGCUUGCUCCUGCAUUCAGCGGCGGACGGGUGAGUAAUACCUCGGAACCUGCCCGGUAGUGGGGGAUCACUUCCGGAAACCGGCGCUAAUACCGCAUACGUCCUGAGGGUGAAAGCGGGGGAUCUUCGGACCUCACGCUAUCCGAUCAGCCUAGGUCGGAUUAGCUAGUUGGUGGGGUAAAGGCCUACCAAGGCGACGAUCCGUAACUGGUCUGAGAGGAUGAUCAGUCACACUGGGACUGAGACACGGUCCAGACUCCUACGGGAGGCAGCAGUGGGGAAUAUUGGACAAUGGGCGAAAGCCUGAUCCAGCCAUGCCGCGUGUGUGAAGAAGGUCUUCGGAUUGUAAAGCACUUUAAGUGGGAAGGAAAAGCAGUAAGUUAAUACCUCGCUGUGUUGACGUUACCAACAGAAUAAGCACCGGCUAACUACGUG
rnacentral:rRNA from 1 species